rnacentral:rRNA from 1 species
GACGAACGCUGGCGGCGUGCUUAACACAUGCAAGUCGAACGGAAAGGCCUGCUUUCCCUUGUGGAUUGCGGGUACUCGAGUGGCGAACGGGUGAGUAACACGUGAGUGAUCUGCCCCCAACUUGGGUAUAAGCCUGGGAAACUGGGUCUAAUUCCCGAUAGGACUGCAGGGUGGUGCCUGUGGUGGAAAACGAUUUUCUAGUGGUUGGGGAUGAGCUCGCGGCCUAUCAGCUUGUCGGUGGGGUAAUGGCCUACCAAGGCGGCGACGGGUAGCCGGCCUGAGAGGGUGGGCGGCGACAGUGGGACUGGGAGACGGCCCAGACUCCGACGGGAGGCAGCAGUGGGGAAUAUUGCACAAUGGGCGGAAGCCUGAUGCAGCGACGCCGCGUGGGGGAUGACGGGCUUCGGGUUGUAAACUCCUUUCGACCGCGAGGAAGCCACCUGGUUGGAAGGGUGGUGACGGUAGUGGUAGAAGAAGCACCGGCUAACUACGUG